rnacentral:rRNA from 1 species
AUUGAACGCUGGCGGCAGGCCUAACACAUGCAAGUCGAGCGGAUGAAGGGAGCUUGCUCCUGGAUUCAGCGGCGGACGGGUGAGUAAUGCCUAGGAAUCUGCCUGGUAGUGGGGGAUAACGUCCGGAAACGGGCGCUAAUACCGCAUACGUCCUGAGGGAGAAAGUGGGGGAUCUUCGGACCUCACGCUAUCAGAUGAGCCUAGGUCGGAUUAGCUAGUUGGUGGGGUAAAGGCCUACCAAGGCGACGAUCCGUAACUGGUCUGAGAGGAUGAUCAGUCACACUGGAACUGGGACACGGUCCAGACUCCUACGGGAGGCAGCAGUGGGGAAUAUUGGACAUGGGGCGAAGGCCUGAUCCAGCCAGGCCGCGUGUGUGUAGAAGGCCUUCGGAUUGUAAAGCACUUUAAGUUGGGAGGAAGGGCAGUAAGUUAAUACCUAGCUGUUUUGACGGUACCGACAGAAUAAGCACCGGCUAACUACGUG